UACGAAGGGGGCUAGCGUCGCUCGGAAUCACUGGGCGUAAAGGGCGCGUAGGCGGGUCUUUAAGUCAGGGGUGAAAUCCUGGAGCUCAACUCCAGAACUGCCUUUGAUACUGAAGAUCUUGAGUUCGGGAGAGGUUAGUGGAACUGCGAGUGUAGAGGUGAAAUUCGUAGAUAUUCGCAAGAACACCAGUGGCGAAGGCGGCGCACUGGCCCGAUACUGACGCUGAGGUGCGAAAGCGUGGGGAGCAAACAGG
rnacentral:rRNA from 1 species